GACAGAGGUGCCAAGCGUUAGGCGGAAUCACUGGGCUUAAAGCGUGUGUAGGCGGAUGCCUAAGUACCUUGUGAAAUCCCACGGCUCAACCGUGGAACUGCUGGGUAUACUGGGCGUCUUGGGUCAUCUAGGGGCUGCCGGAACAAAUGGUGGAGCGGUGAAAUGCGUAGAUAUCAUUUGGAACGCCAACGGCGAAAGCAGGCAGCUGGGGAUGCACCGACGCUGAGACACGAAAGCCAGGGGAGCGAACGGG
rnacentral:rRNA from 1 species